rnacentral:rRNA from 1 species
GAUGAACGCUGGCGGCGUGCUUAACACAUGCAAGUCGAGCGAAGCAGUUAAGUUGAUUUCUUCGGAUUGAUUCUUAACUGACUGAGCGGCGGACGGGUGAGUAACGCGUGGGUGACCUGCCCCAUACCGGGGGAUAACAGCUGGAAACGGCUGCUAAUACCGCAUAAGCGCACAGAGCUGCAUGGCUCGGUGUGAAAAACUCCGGUGGUAUGGGAUGGGCCCGCGUCUGAUUAGGCAGUUGGCGGGGUAACGGCCCACCAAACCGACGAUCAGUAGCCGGCCUGAGAGGGCGACCGGCCACAUUGGGACUGAGACACGGCCCAAACUCCUACGGGAGGCAGCAGUGGGGAAUAUUGCACAAUGGGGGAAACCCUGAUGCAGCGACGCCGCGUGAGCGAAGAAGUAUUUCGGUAUGUAAAGCUCUAUCAGCAGGGAAGAUAAUGACGGUACCUGACUAAGAAGCCCCGGCUAACUACGUGCCAGCAGCCGCGGUAAUACGUAGGGGGCAAGCGUUAUCCGGAUUUACUGGGUGUAAAGGGAGCGUAGACGGCAAGGCAAGUCUGAUGUGAAAACCCAGGGCUUAACCCUGGGACUGCAUUGGAAACUGUCUGGCUCGAGUGCCGGAGAGGUAAGCGGAAUUCCUAGUGUAGCGGUGAAAUGCGUAGAUAUUAGGAAGAACACCAGUGGCGAAGGCGGCUUACUGGACGGU